AGCGUACACGGUGGAUGCCCUGGCAGUCAGAGGCGAUGAAGGACGUGCUAAUCUGCGAUAAGCGUCGGUGAGGUGAUAUGAACCGUUAUAACCGGCGAUUUCCGAAUGGGGAAACCCAGUGUGUUUCGACACACUAUCAUUAACUGAAUCCAUAGGUUAAUGAGGCGAACCGGGGGAACUGAAACAUCUAAGUACCCCGAGGAAAAGAAAUCAACCGAGAUUCCCCCAGUAGCGGCGAGCGAACGGGGAGGAGCCCAGAGCCUGAAUCAGUGUGUGUGUUAGUGGAAGCGUCUGGAAAGGCGCGCGAUACAGGGUGACAGCCCCGUACACAAAAAUGCACAUAUUGUGAGCUCGAUGAGUAGGGCGGGACACGUGGUAUCCUGUCUGAAUAUGGGGGGACCAUCCUCCAAGGCUAAAUACUCCUGACUGACCGAUAGUGAACCAGUACCGUGAGGGAAAGGCGAAAAGAACCCCGGCGAGGGGAGUGAAAAAGAACCUGAAACCGUGUACGUACAAGCAGUGGGAGCCUCUUUAUGGGGUGACUGCGUACCUUUUGUAUAAUGGGUCAGCGACUUAUAUUCUGUAGCAAGGUUAACCGAAUAGGGGAGCCGAAGGGAAACCGAGUCUUAACUGGGCGUUAAGUUGCAGGGUAUAGACCCGAAACCCGGUGAUCUAGCCAUGGGCAGGUUGAAGGUUGGGUAACACUAACUGGAGGACCGAACCGACUAAUGUUGAAAAAUUAGCGGAUGACUUGUGGCUGGGGGUGAAAGGCCAAUCAAACCGGGAGAUAGCUGGUUCUCCCCGAAAGCUAUUUAGGUAGCGCCUCGUGAAUUCAUCUCCGGGGGUAGAGCACUGUUUCGGCAAGGGGGUCAUCCCGACUUACCAACCCGAUGCAAACUGCGAAUACCGGAGAAUGUUAUCACGGGAGACACACGGCGGGUGCUAACGUCCGUCGUGAAGAGGGAAACAACCCAGACCGCCAGCUAAGGUCCCAAAGUCAUGGUUAAGUGGGAAACGAUGUGGGAAGGCCCAGACAGCCAGGAUGUUGGCUUAGAAGCAGCCAUCAUUUAAAGAAAGCGUAAUAGCUCACUGGUCGAGUCGGCCUGCGCGGAAGAUGUAACGGGGCUAAACCAUGCACCGAAGCUGCGGCAGCGACACUAUGUGUUGUUGGGUAGGGGAGCGUUCUGUAAGCCUGUGAAGGUGGCCUGUGAGGGUUGCUGGAGGUAUCAGAAGUGCGAAUGCUGACAUAAGUAACGAUAAAGCGGGUGAAAAGCCCGCUCGCCGGAAGACCAAGGGUUCCUGUCCAACGUUAAUCGGGGCAGGGUGAGUCGACCCCUAAGGCGAGGCCGAAAGGCGUAGUCGAUGGGAAACAGGUUAAUAUUCCUGUACUUGGUGUUACUGCGAAGGGGGGACGGAGAAGGCUAUGUUGGCCGGGCGACGGUUGUCCCGGUUUAAGCGUGUAGGCUGGUUUUCCAGGCAAAUCCGGAAAACCAAGGCUGAGGCGUGAUGACGAGGCACUACGGUGCUGAAGCGACAAAUGCCCUGCUUCCAGGAAAAGCCUCUAAGCAUCAGGUAACAUCAAAUCGUACCCCAAACCGACACAGGUGGUCAGGUAGAGAAUACCAAGGCGCUUGAGAGAACUCGGGUGAAGGAACUAGGCAAAAUGGUGCCGUAACUUCGGGAGAAGGCACGCUGAUAUGUAGGUGAAGCGACUUGCUCGUGGAGCUGAAAUCAGUCGAAGAUACCAGCUGGCUGCAACUGUUUAUUAAAAACACAGCACUGUGCAAACACGAAAGUGGACGUAUACGGUGUGACGCCUGCCCGGUGCCGGAAGGUUAAUUGAUGGGGUUAGCGGUAACGCGAAGCUCUUGAUCGAAGCCCCGGUAAACGGCGGCCGUAACUAUAACGGUCCUAAGGUAGCGAAAUUCCUUGUCGGGUAAGUUCCGACCUGCACGAAUGGCGUAAUGAUGGCCAGGCUGUCUCCACCCGAGACUCAGUGAAAUUGAACUCGCUGUGAAGAUGCAGUGUACCCGCGGCAAGACGGAAAGACCCCGUGAACCUUUACUAUAGCUUGACACUGAACAUUGAGCCUUGAUGUGUAGGAUAGGUGGGAGGCUUUGAAGUGUGGACGCCAGUCUGCAUGGAGCCGACCUUGAAAUACCACCCUUUAAUGUUUGAUGUUCUAACGUUGGCCCGUAAUCCGGGUUGCGGACAGUGUCUGGUGGGUAGUUUGACUGGGGCGGUCUCCUCCUAAAGAGUAACGGAGGAGCACGAAGGUUGGCUAAUCCUGGUCGGACAUCAGGAGGUUAGUGCAAUGGCAUAAGCCAGCUUGACUGCGAGCGUGACGGCGCGAGCAGGUGCGAAAGCAGGUCAUAGUGAUCCGGUGGUUCUGAAUGGAAGGGCCAUCGCUCAACGGAUAAAAGGUACUCCGGGGAUAACAGGCUGAUACCGCCCAAGAGUUCAUAUCGACGGCGGGGUUUGGCACCUCGAUGUCGGCUCAUCACAUCCUGGGGCUGAAGUAGGUCCCAAGGGUAUGGCUGUUCGCCAUUUAAAGUGGUACGCGAGCUGGGUUUAGAACGUCGUGAGACAGUUCGGUCCCUAUCUGCCGUGGGCGCUGGAGAACUGAGGGGGGCUGCUCCUAGUACGAGAGGACCGGAGUGGACGCAUCACUGGUGUUCGGGUUGUCAUGCCAAUGGCACUGCCCGGUAGCUAAAUGCGGAAGAGAUAAGUGCUGAAAGCAUCUAAGCACGAAACUUGCCCCGAGAUGAGUUCUCCCUGACUCCUUGA
rnacentral:rRNA from 1 species